rnacentral:rRNA from 1 species
UUCCAGACUCCUACGGGAGGCAGCAGUGAGGAAUAUUGGUCAAUGGGCGAGAGCCUGAACCAGCCAAGUCGCGUGAGGGAGUACUGCCCUAUGGGUUGUAAACCUCUUUUGUCGGGGAGCAAAAGCCGGACGUGUCCGGCUGUGAGAGUACCCGAAGAAAAAGCAUCGGCUAACUCCGUGCCAGCAGCCGCGGUAAUACGGAGGAUGCGAGCGUUAUCCGGAUUUAUUGGGUUUAAAGGGUGCGUAGGCGGGACCUUAAGUCAGCGGUAAAAUUGCGGUGCUCAACGCCGUAGAGCCGUUGAAACUGGGGUUCUUGAGUGAGCGAGAAGUAUGCGGAAUGCGUGGUGUAGCGGUGAAAUGCAUAGAUAUCACGCAGAACUCCGAUUGCGAAGGCAGCAUACCGGCGCCCGACUGACGCUGAAGCACGAAAGCGUGGGUAUCGAACAGGAUUAGAUACCCUCGUAA